rnacentral:misc_RNA from 1 species
AACACUGUUAACCUGCGGUACCUGCGGAAGGAUCAUUACCCAAGGGGCUGGAUGCUUGCUGGCUUGCCAGCUUGCUCCGGCUAACAACCCUUACCACCUUUGCCUAUUUGUACCUCUUGUUCAUCCCUCGGCGGGGACGCCUGCCGCUAGGGACCCCCAUGAAACCUUUUUGUAUCAAAAAGUAUGACUGAAAACAACCACAAUUAUUACAACUUUUAACAAUGGAUCUCAGAUCGGAAG